GUCCACGCCGUAACUAUGCAUACAAGAUGUGGUGGGUUUUCUCCUGCCGUGUCGAAGCUAACGCAAUUAGUAUGCCGCCUGGGGAGUACGGUCGCAAGACUAAAACUCAAAGGAAUUGACGUGGGCCCGCACAAGCGGUGGAUUAUGUGGUUUAAUUCGAAGCAACGCGCAGAACCUUACCUGGGUUUGACAUCCCUUGACAAUCCUAGAAAUAGGACUUUGUAGCAAUACACAAGGAGACAGGUGCUGCAUGGCUGUCGU
rnacentral:rRNA from 1 species